UACGUAGGGUGCAAGCGUUAUCCGGAAUCAUUGGGCGUAAAGAGCUCGUAGGCGGUUUGUCGCGUCUGCUGUGAAAGUCCGGGGCUCAACUCCGGAUCUGCGGUGGGUACGGGCAGGCUAGAGUGAUGUAGGGGAGACUGGAAUUCCUGGUGUAGCGGUGAAAUGCGCAGAUAUCAGGAGGAACACCGAUGGCGAAGGCAGAUCUCUGGGCAAUAACUGACGCUGAGGAGCGAAAGCGUGGGGAGCGAACAGG
rnacentral:rRNA from 1 species